CUGUUCUAGCCCAGAGUCCCCCAUCAGGAACUUUCUCUGUAUUAGGCAGCCCCCAAAAAGCUAUUUUUGUGACCGAAAGAAAAAAUGGCUCACUGAAACAGAACUUUGCUGAUCUGGUUUCAGAGAAUUCUAUGAGAUGAAACAUUCCAUGGAACUGAACACAGAAUGGGCGUAUCUGGAUGGGGGUGCAGGAGCAGAGGCCUACAGCUAAAAGUAGAUGCACUUUAUCAUUCUAGCUCAAGACUCCUCCUCAUUUUUUCCUUUGGUCUGAUAUUCUGAAUGAAUAUUUGGGUAAGUGACAGAUCCUCAUCACCAGUUGGGAGCCUAUGGAAAUAAUCCAGGUGAGAAAUGUUAAUGACUCAGAUGAGGGUAGCAGCAAUAGAGUGGUUCUAGAAGUUGGAUCUGGGAUAUAUUUCAGAGAGAUAGAGGUAUAUUGUUGGAUUGGAUGUUGGGAGGCAAGUGAAUUCAAAGUUUUUGAUUUGAGUAAUUGGAUGGUGAUAACCAUUUGCUGAAAUGGGUUAAGCCUUUGGGUAUGCUUUAUUCGAUUUCUCAGGAAAAAUUUUAUGUGUAUAGUCGGAUAUUUGAGUUGGGAGUUCAGGAAGGAGCAAGGCUGAAGAUACAAAUUUGGGACUUGUCGGUCGGUAAGAUAUUUAUGGAACUGGAUGAGAUCAUCUGGAGAUGGAAUAAAAGUAGAAAGAAGAAGAAUGCGGAGUCCUGAGUUCAGAGUACUCUAUCUUUUAGAAGAUUAGCAGAGGAAAGGGUGCCACAAAUGAGACCCAGGAGUUAUUAUUGAGGAAAUGCUGAAGACACGGUUUUCUGGAGUUUCAGCAAGUAAUUUAAUAGAAUCAUUUGUAAGGGAUGAAUGGGAUAUGGAAGAGUGUGGGCAGGAUAGUAGUACAGGUAGGUGGGUUAGGACUGUUUGCACCAAAUAAGGGUGGGAACUUGAAGAUCUCUAGGAGAGUACCUCAGGUCUUGGUCAUGAACCUGGUUAAAAACCUCUUGAGUACAAAGAACUUGGGUCAGGUUUGCAAUGACACAAAGAUGGGGAGAUAGUUACAUCAGAUUGAUUAGCAGGUUAUUUUAUUUUUUAAGUUGUAUUUAUUUAUUUAUUUAUUUAUUUUAAAUAUUUAUUUAUUUUGAGAUAGAGAGAGAC